AUUUAUAUAGUUUAAAUAAAACAUUACAUUUUCAUUGUAAAAAUAAAAAUCUUUUUUUAUAAAUA
rnacentral:tRNA from 1 species